rnacentral:rRNA from 1 species
UACGUAGGGGGCGAGCGUUGUCCGGAAUUAUUGGGCGUAAAGAGCGUGUAGGCGGUUCGGUAAGUCUGCCGUGAAAACCUGGGGCUCAACCCCGGGCCUGCAUUCGAUACGGGCAGACUAGAGUUCGGUAGGGGAGUCUGGAAUUCCUGGUGUAGCGGUGAAAUGCGCAGAUAUCAGGAGGAACACCGAUUGCGAAGGCAGCUCGCUGGGACGUAACUGACGCUGAGACGCGAAAGCGUGGGGAGCAAACAGG